CUCUUGUUCUCUAAGCACCCUGCUGCCGCUGUCGCUCCAUGUGCCUCAGCCCCUCUAAAGACAUGAAUCCCAGGCAUCUGGUUUUGUGGGUUCAGUAUUGUCUCGGGCAGAGAGGCUUUUCUUUUAAUAGUUGUUACAUGCCUGGACCCUUUGUGUCUUCUGUAAUAGCUGUCAUUCUGUGGUUAUUUGGCAAUCGCCAACUUGUUUUUCAUACUACCCCCCCCCCCCAAACAACAUCAUUAGAAAGCGCGACUCUGUGGCCAAAUUCAUUGCUUCGUGGCCUGCAAGGACAAACAGAAGGAAGAAGUGGUCCAUUGUAGUCAAUCUGCCACCAGGUUGGUGUCUGGUCAUCGAGGGGAUGCUCUCAGAUCUGGGGCUCAGUGCUGGUCUCUGCUGUUGGCAAAUCUGUCGCUCAGCAGCAGCUAUGGCCAUGUCAGCCAUCAUGAAUGGAAGUCAACAUUGUGGAGCCCAUGCCUAGCCAUAAUUAAGACAAUACUAUAUGAAAUGUCACAGUAUUAUUAAACACAUUAUAUCCAAA